AGUUCGUGGAGUGAUCUGUCUGCUUAAUUGCGUUUCACUAAGGACCUAUACAUUUACGUGUGUUGCAGCACUUUGACCCCUCUUUUCUCAACUUCUGUUGUUUAAGAGCGUGUGUCUUAGCUUUUGCUUGCUCGCACAACUAGGUCCUGAAAGCAACGAACGUGACCGCAACCUCUUGUUGCCUUUUGAUACCAACAGUUUCUUUCUUCUGCACUUUUGUGUGAAUGAUUGGACUGCAUAAAGGCUUUUUAAACUAGAGGGACCGCUGUUACUUUCUUAAACCAGAGGAAGGUUGCGGCAAUAACAGGUCU
rnacentral:rRNA from 1 species